rnacentral:rRNA from 1 species
GACGAACGCUGGCGGCGUGCUUAACACAUGCAAGUCGAACGGAAAGGCCCUGCUUUUGUGGGGUGCUCGAGUGGCGAACGGGUGAGUAACACGUGAGUAACCUGCCCUUGACUUUGGGAUAACUUCAGGAAACUGGGGCUAAUACCGGAUAGGAGCUCCUGCUGCAUGGUGGGGGUUGGAAAGUUUCGGCGGUUGGGGAUGGACUCGCGGCUUAUCAGCUUGUUGGUGGGGUAGUGGCUUACCAAGGCUUUGACGGGUAGCCGGCCUGAGAGGGUGACCGGCCACAUUGGGACUGAGAUACGGCCCAGACUCCUACGGGAGGCAGCAGUGGGGAAUAUUGCACAAUGGGCGGAGGCCUGAUGCAGCAACGCCGCGUGCGGGAUGACAGCCUUCGGGUUGUAAACCGCUUUCGCCUGUGACGAAGCGUGAGUGACGGUAAUGGGUAAAGAAGCACCGGCUAACUACGUG